UGAUAAUCCUAGCCUGGAAGACUGGAAUGAAGUAACAGUAUCUGAAGGGGAAAGAUUUUCUCUCUCAAAAUUAGCAGAAUUAAAAAUAGUAAACUGCCCCAAGCUAAAAGGACUACCCCAAAAUUUUUCCCCACAAAAACUGGAGAUAAGCAAUUUUGAAUUGUUGACUACCCUCCCAUCAACAGAGCACGCGCAAAAUCUUCAAUGUUUAGCAUUAGAUUCAUAUAGUG
rnacentral:misc_RNA from 1 species